rnacentral:rRNA from 1 species
GAUGAACGCUGGCGGCGUGCUUAACACAUGCAAGUCGAACGGAAAGGCCCAAGCUUGCUUGGGUACUCGAGUGGCGAACGGGCGAGUAACACGUGGGUGAUCUGCCCUGCACUUCGGGAUAAGCCUGGGAAACUGGGUCUAAUACCGGAUAGGACCACUUCUUGGAUGUUGUGGUGGAAAGUUUUUUCGGUGUGGGAUGAGCUCGCGGCCUAUCAGCUUGUUGGUGGGGUAAUGGCCUACCAAGGCGUCGACGGGUAGCCGGCCUGAGAGGGUGUACGGCCACAUUGGGACUGAGAUACGGCCCAGACUCCUACGGGAGGCAGCAGUGGGGAAUAUUGCACAAUGGGCGCAAGCCUGAUGCAGCGACGCCGCGUGGGGGAUGACGGCCUUCGGGUUGUAAACUCCUUUCGCUAGGGACGAAGCGUUUUGUGACGGUACCUGGAGAAGAAGCACCGGCUAACUACGUG